GACGAACGCUGGCGGCGUGCCUAAUACAUGCAAGUUGAGCGAUGAAGAUUGGUGCUUGCACCAAUUUGAAGAGCAGCGAACGGGUGAGUAACGCGUGGGGAAUCUGCCUUUGAGCGGGGGACAACAUUUGGAAACGAAUGCUAAUACCGCAUAACAACUUUAAACAUAAGUUUUAAGUUUGAAAGAUGCAAUUGCAUCACUCAAGAUUGUCCCGCGUUGGAUUAGCUAGGUGGUGAGGUAAAGGCCCACCAAGGCGAUGAUACAUAGCCGACCUGAGAGGGAGAUCUGCCACAUUGAGACUGAGACACGGCCCAAGCUCCUACGGGAGGCAGCAGUAGGGAAGCUUCGGAUAUGGAAGAAAGUCUGACCGAGCAACGCCGCGUGAGUGAAGAAGGUUUUCGGAUCGUAAAACUCUGUUGGUAGAGAAGAACGUAGGUGAGAGUGGAAAGCUCAUCAAGUGACGGUAACUACCCAGAAAGGGACGGCUAACUACGUG
rnacentral:rRNA from 1 species